CGAUGAAGGACGUGCUAAUCUGCGAUAAGCGCCGGUAAGGUGAUAUGAACCGUUAUAACCGGCGAUUUCCGAAUGGGGAAACCCAGUGUGAUUCGUCACACUAUCAUUAACUGAAUCCAUAGGUUAAUGAGGCGAACCGGGGGAACUGAAACAUCUAAGUACCCCGAGGAAAAGAAAUCAACCGAGAUUCCCCCAGUAGCGGCGAGCGAACGGGGAGGAGCCCAGAGCCUGAAUCAGCAUGUGUGUUAGUGGAAGCGUCUGGAAAGGCGCGCGAUACAGGGUGACAGCCCCGUACACAAAAGCGCAUGUGCUGUGAGCUCGAUGAGUAGGGCGGGACACGUGGUAUCCUGUCUGAAUAUGGGGGGACCAUCCUCCAAGGCUAAAUACUCCUGACUGACCGAUAGUGAACCAGUACCGUGAGGGAAAGGCGAAAAGAACCCCGGCGAGGGGAGUGAAAAAGAACCUGAAACCGUGUACGUACAAGCAGUGGGAGCACAGGUUUACCUG
rnacentral:rRNA from 1 species